GACGUAGGGCGCGAGCGUUGUCCGGAUUUAUUGGGCGUAAAGAGCUCGUAGGCGGCUUGUCGCGUCGGCUGUGAAAUCCCGUGGCUUAACUGCGGGUCUGCAGCCGAUACGGGCAGGCUAGAGUUCGGUAGGGGAGACUGGAAUUCCUGGUGUAGCGGUGAAAUGCGCAGAUAUCUGGAGGAACACCGGUGGCGAAGGCGGCAUCCUGGACCGAUACUGACGCUGAGGAGCGAAAGCCAGGGGAGCAAACGGG
rnacentral:rRNA from 1 species